GACGAACGCUGGCGGCGUGCUUAACACAUGCAAGUCGAACGCUGAAGCUCAGCUUUUGUUGGGUGGAUGAGUGGCGAACGGGUGAGUAACACUUAGGUACCUUGCCCCCUUCUUUGGGAUACCUCCCGAAAACGGGGCCUAAUCCUGGAUAUUCCCUGGUCUUCCCUGGGGGGUUGUGGAAAGGGGUUUUUCUGGUGGGGGAUGGGGUCGCGGCCUAUCAGCUUUUUGGUGGGGUGUUGGCCUCCCAAGGGUUUGACGGUUAGCCGGCCUGAGAGGGUGGCCGGUCACAUGGGGACUGAGAUAAGGCCCAGACUACUACGGGAGGAAGCAGUGGGGAAUAUUGCACAAUGGGCGCAAGCAUGAUGCAGCGACGCAGCGUGAGAGAUGGAGGCCUUCGGGUUGUGAACCUCUUUCGCUAAUGGUCAAGCCGCAACAAUGGUUGUGGUGAGGGUAGUGGGUAAAGAAGCGCCGGCUAACUACGUG
rnacentral:rRNA from 1 species